AACGAGCGCUGGCGGCAUGCCUAACACAUGCAAGUCGAACGAGGCCUUCGGGUCUAGUGGCGCACGGGUGCGUAACGCGUGGGAACCUGCCCUUAGGUUCGGAAUAACUCCCCGAAAGGGGUGCUAAUACCGGAUAAUGUCUUCGGACCAAAGAUUUAUCGCCUUUGGAUGGGCCCGCGUUGGAUUAGCUAGUUGGUAGGGUAAAAGCCUACCAAGGCGACGAUCCAUAGCUGGUCUGAGAGGAUGAUCAGCCACACUGGGACUGAGACACGGCCCAGACUCCUACGGGAGGCAGCAGUGGGGAAUAUUGGACGAUGGGCGAAAGCCUGAUCCAGCAAUGCCGCGUGAGUGAUGAAGGCCUUAGGGUUGUAAAGCUCUUUUACCCGGGAUGAUAAUGACAGUACCGGGAGAAUAAGCUCCGGCUAACUCCGUG
rnacentral:rRNA from 1 species